rnacentral:antisense_RNA from 1 species
CUUGAUCGACCCGAGCCACAGGGGUUCGCCGGCGCGGUCGCGGCCGUAGGUGGCCAGCAGCGCCUGGGCCUC